rnacentral:rRNA from 1 species
AUUGAACGCUGGCGGAAUGCUUUACACAUGCAAGUCGAACGGCAGCACGGACUUCGGUCUGGUGGCGAGUGGCGAACGGGUGAGUAAUACAUCGGAACGUGCCCAAUCGUGGGGGAUAACGUAGCGAAAGCUACGCUAAUACCGCAUACGAUCUAAGGAUGAAAGCGGGGGAUCGCAAGACCUCGCGCGAAUGGAGCGGCCGAUGGCAGAUUAGGUAGUUGGUAGGGUAAAGGCCUACCAAGCCGACGAUCUGUAGCUGGUCUGAGAGGAUGAUCAGCCACACUGGGACUGAGACACGGCCCAGACUCCUACGGGAGGCAGCAGUGGGAAUUUUGGACAAUGGACGCAAGUCUGAUCCAGCCAUUCCGCGUGCAGGAUGAAGGCCCUCGGGUUGUAAACUGCUUUUGUACAGAACGAAAAGGCUCUGGUUAAUACCUGGGGCUCAUGACGGUACUGUAAGAAUAAGCACCGGCUAACUACGUGCCAGCCGCCGCGGUAAAAC